ACGCUCGACACCUACUGGAGGCAGCAGUAGGGAAUCUUCCGCAAUGGACGAAAGUCUGACGGAGCAACGCCGCGUGAACGAUGAAGGUUUUCGGAUCGUAAAGUUCUGUUGUUAGGGAAGAACAAACUUCGUUUGAAUAAGGCGGAGUCAUGACGGUACCUAACGAGAAAGCCACGGCUAACUACGUGCCUGCAGCCGCGGUAAUCUGAGCGGGCUGGCAAGGC
rnacentral:rRNA from 1 species